rnacentral:lncRNA from 1 species
AGAAUGGUGUGAACCUGGCAGGCAGAGCUUGCAGUGAGCCGAGAUUGCACCACUGCACUCCAACCUGGGUGACAGAGCGAGACUCCAACUCAAAAAAAAAAAAAAAAGCUUGAGGGUUUUUAUGCUCCAAAAAAUAAUUCCAGGCAGGUUAUGGGCACAUUAGAUAGAGUUCAUUAUACUAUUUUCUUUUUGGGUCUAUUUGAAAAUUCCCAUAGUUAUAAAGUUAAAUAGUUUUGAGUAUGUUUUUUUCCCACAGAGGUACACAUAUGCCCAGCAAUGUCCUCUCUGAAAUUUCAGAUACAAACUUCAAAAUCAUCUGUAUUUGCUCCUCACCAAGCCCCAAACCCGCAGCUGAAGUUCGAAAUCACAGACAGUCUAAUUUGUGUGUUUAACUUACCACGGGUUUAUCAGAGUAUGAGGCGCAUUAUCCACUUACAGUUUUUCAACUUACAGUGGGUUUAUCUGGGUACUAAAUGCGAUUCUGACUUGGGAAUUUCCAACUCGCAGUGGGUUUCCCAGGACUGACCCACCGAGGCUGGGGAGCAUCUGUGCGCCCGCAGUGGGGAGGGAGUUCGCACCCCCUGGUGCUGACAGCUUCUAAGCAGCUCCAUCUCUGCACAGGGGUCAAGUAAGCGGCUCCGUCUCCGCACAGGGUCAAGCGCACGCACUCGCAUUUCCCAGCACUGACAGGAUGUAAACACAGGAGGCCUCCACGCUCCGUUGGCCGCCGAACGGCCAGGGAGCAGGGGCGAGGACCGUGGCAGCCUCCUCGUGCAGAGUUGCAAAAUCCCAGCGCAGGCCCCUCCCUGCCCACGUGACACACCGGUCCGCGGCGGCUCACCUCGGGCAGAAGCACGUCCAGAAUGAACCGGAUCCGGUCGCCGUUGGUGCGCUGGAGCACCUUGGCACCCACCUCCUGGUAGACGCCCUGCAGGUACUUCACCACCACGUCCAGCUGCCCCUCAUCCUCCAGAGGAGUAAAAAUAACUGCACUGAGUUGACGUGUUGGUGCUGGCAGUCGCUACAACAAAAUGAGUAUUUCCAGAGGGAAAAUAGACAUUUCUGAGUUAGACAAAUCCCUUGCAGUUCAUCGACAGCACAUGAUGAAAGCUGGCUGCAGAUCCAGGGAGCAGGAAGCCACUCUGCAGCAAGACGUCUGCCACGUGGUAUCGGCCAGGCUCACUGCAGCACUUGAGGGCCCACAGGGCUCCCGACGCUGAGCUAGGGACGCCCCCGGCCGCAAGGGGCUGGCUACCGAGGCCCCCGUGCCAUGGGGUGGACUGAGACAGUCAGCCAGGGAAGGCAGUGGCCUUGCACAGGGGCUCUCUGCUGCAGCCUUGCCUGGUGGCCCUGGGUAAACUGUCCUCGCCGGAGCCCCAGCUUCCUUACCCGUAAAGCGGGGAAAUGGGGCCGCAACUUCCCAGGACAGUUGUGAGAAUUCAGCGCAGUGACUGAGCCCACGAUCUAACUCUUAACGGCCAGAGCGCAGCCUGGCUCUGCUACUUCCCACAAUCAUUCACACGCGUACACCGCAGCCAUGGAUUUCAAGAGCUACACACAGAGGACACAUUUACUAAUCACAGAGUAAACCAUUUAAAGCAAGCACAAAACAUCAUCCACCUACCAGAAGCGUCUGUUUCUCUUUACAAUCAAAGUGCUUUAAACUUUUAAGAGACACUGUGAAACUUGAAGAAGAGAGAGGGAAAAGUUAACAUGAACUUCCUCUAAUAAGCUAAAACCUUUCCCUGUCUCUGAUUAAGAUUAGUGGAGGCCGCUGGAGGCCCCACCAGCCCCAGCUUAUUUAUGGAAGGUGACUGUUUCCCCAGCUGCCAAGAAGCUCCCAACGCACCAUGGUGGGUCCAGUGACUUCAGCAACACUGACUGGGCCCCGCCAGGACAGGCCGACCUUGGGGCCUGGGUCUCCACUCCACCUCCCACCCUUCGGGGGCAGCACAGAAGUACCAGAUGACACCGGUUCUGCGCGUUCGACUUGGGGAUAUGCAAUGCGAUGGUUUUAAAGGCUGCUUUCAGCCGGCUGAUCCAUCCACGUGUGCUUUCAUCCCAUGACUAAGGAACGACCAGGUAACCCAGGGGCAAACUCAGGUGGACGCAGGGAUGCUGUCUGCACACCUGCGUGGACAUUUUGCUGGUUUGUGGGAAACAGGGCCCCAGUGAGUGUCUGGUUGGGCUGCCUUUCAAAGCCAGCAAAUCAAGUUGUGAAAACUGGGGUGUUUGACCAGACCCUUCACACACAGCCUCUGUUUGACUCACCCAUCCCAGUGAGUGAGAGGUCACAAGAAGGGCACACCUCCAGUGAGACCCCACUAGCCCUGCCCGGGCCUGGACUCCUGCCGGGGUCUCCCCUCUGUCCCUCCAUCCCCACGCCGGCUCUGACUCUGAGAGCGGCCAGCCUGCCCCCUCAGGCCCAUUCACAGAAACCAAGAACAGCGGGUUACCCUUUCAUUUUCGGGUUCAUGUGUCCUUCGAUGUAUAGCACACUUGCUUUCUUAUCUCUCUGCCUGACGCUUUUGACCUGUUCACAAAUCCAAGAAAAUAAAACGUCAAAACGAAAGAGAUCGUGGAUUUUAAAUAUUUUUUUGUGACAUCACAUGAUACAUCUAACAGGUGCUGACCCCAGCUCUGGGGGUGACCCCAGCGAAGUCUCCCGCAAGGCGGCGCUGAGAAACGGCCCCAUGCUCUGCCACACGCAUCACUUGAACGCUUUCCCAUCUGAGCGGAAUCAGCCAGUUUUGUUUGGGUUUUUUAA